AGUCGUAAACUUAGACAUCCAACUACAAUUAGAUGUCCGCCAGGGUACUACGAGCAUUAGCUUAAAACCCAAAGGACCUGACGGUGUCUCAGAUCCCCCUAGAGGAGCCUGUUCUAGAACCGAUAACCCCCGUUUAACCUCACCACUUCUAGCCACCCCAGCCUAUAUACCGCCGUCGUCAGCUUACCCUGUGAAGGAAACAAAAGUAAGCAAAAUGGGCACAACCCAGAACGUCAGGUCGAGGUGUAGCGCAUGAAAUGGAAAGAAAUGGGCUACAUUUUCUGUAACAGAAUAUUACGAACAUGCACCAUGAAACAGUGCUUGAAGGAGGAUUUAGUAGUAAAAGGGAAAUAGAGUGUCCCUUUGAACCCGGCUCUGAGACGCGUACACACCGCCCGUCACUCUCCCCGUCAAAACGCACCAAAAUACCUAAUACAAUAGCACUGACAAGGGGAGGCAAGUCGUAACACGGUAAGUGUACCGGAAGGUGCACUUGGAUCAAACCCAGGGCGUGGCUGAGUUAGUCAAGCAUCUCACUUACACCGAGAAGACAUCCAUGCAAAUUGGAUCACCCUGAGCCAAACAGCUAGCUUAAUCACCAAAUAAAUGAACAAUAUAAAUAAAACCAAAUAAACUAAACACAGAAACUAAACCAUUCUUUUACCUGAGUAUGGGAGACAGAAAAGGUUACACCAAAGCGAUAGAAACAGUACCGCAAGGGAAGGCUGAAAGAGAAGUGAAAAAACCCAUAUAAGCACAAAAAAGCAAAGAUUAAAACUUGUACCUUUUGCAUCAUGAUUUAGCCAGUACACCCAAGCAAAGAGACCUUUAGUUUGAAACCCCGAAACCAGGUGAGCUACCCCGAGACAGCCUAUUAAGGGCCAACCCGUCUCUGUGGCAAAAGAGUGGGAAGAGCUCCGGGUAGAAGUGACAGACCUACCGAACCUGGUGAUAGCUGGUUGCCUAAGAAAUGAAUAGAAGUUCAGCCUCGUACCCCCCCAAGUCAAAGUAGCACAAACAGAACACAGAGAGA
rnacentral:rRNA from 1 species